ACAAACUCUAUAAAUCAAUCAGCUGUAAAUCUUUCAAAGAAUUUGAACAUCUACUGUAUGCCUCAAGCAUUGCGUAAAACCAGUUACAGCAUUUGCUUCCACAAUAAUGGAUGACACAAAAUGGAGGCAAGCGCAAGGAAGCAGGUGUGCAGUCUGUUUCGGUGGAGGUAGGGCGUACACUGGUACAUCAUGGUGUUAAUGAUUAGUGAUGCCAGUGGCUGGUAAAAUGUCAUAUUUCUGCAUGCGUCCUUGUGAUUUGUUACAGCCCCGUGUCCCUCUGGGGGAUGUUGCCAACACCAGAUUUCCAUUAAACAAAUCCUCUACAGGGAGCUUACAGCGCAGCCAGUCCUGAGAUGUCUGCUCCAAUUCUUUUGGAUGGAGGUAACAAGAGCGGCCUGGGGGCGACUCCCCACUCUCCUCUCAGCAAAAUAGAAUCAACCAAUCAGAGAGCAGCAACACAAGCACUAUUUGACAGUGUAACGCAUAAAUACAUGAUUCUUCAUCACAUCCACCAAAACCGCCUGGCUGUAUGGGGAAUGCAAGGCAUGAGAGGGGAACAAAGCCUUCCACUGUCCCCCAUAGAGAGGUGGGGCACUGCAGGCCCUCAAAUCAGCCCCUGGCCCCCAGCUCCUCCACAGAAUCCAGAAUAUUAGCAGUCGUGCGACGGGUGGAUGGGGAAGUAACGUGCUGUUUAAGUGGCUCAUGAACAAUCGAAGAAGACAUAGCUCACGUUUGUGACAGUGGAGCAGGAAUGAGCAGCAUCCGGGGGAUCUGGUUCUCUGCACGUUUUGACACCAUUCUUCCAACACACUGCCAUUCACGUCGCAUUCCCAGCGUCUACCUUGGGCUCGCUCACACCGAUUGUUCCCACUCGCCAACAUGCCUUGAAUUCUCCCUCGCCUGUACAGAACAAAGAGAAUGUGACUUGUAUAAUAUCUGUAUUCAUCACUGGAUUCCAGCGCCCCGUUGCGUUGUGUGAUUCAAACCUGUUGUUGUCUGGCUGUGCAAAGAGUCAUCUUACGUUCACCGCAAGACCUGAAAUACUCUGGGUGGAGAGUAAAAAUGAUCCAGCUGUGAAGACUAAAUGUUUCAGCUCCUAAAAGAGAUUUUAACUGAUAGAAAGAAUAGCUUUUUAUGUUAAAACCUCUUUUGUGUUUUGACAUAUUUUUACUGACAGGAAGUUUGCGUGAGACAUAAUAAAGGGCAUACUUUUCAUAAAAUAACAAAUAGGCCAUCACGGCCAUAAACUAGUUGGUCGCAGGAUCAGGCUGGGUAGUAACUGAUUACUUGUAAUCUGGAUUACGUAAUCAGAUUCCAAAAACCAAGUACUUGUAAUUUAAUUACGUUACAUUUUAAAAUACUCGUAAUACAAUUACUAUUUUAUUGAUACAGAUUACAUUACAUAGAUUACAUUACAUGUUAUUGUUUUAUUUUCUGGUAAACCCCACUUUAACUGCUAAAACAACCAUCCAACCCAUGAAAGCGAGUCUAACAUGUUUUUGUUUACAAGCAUUUAUGUUCGCUAUGUAUUGUUCAAGAACAGUGUUAAUCUUCACAAUCUAGCAUUUGCGCGAUCGCAACAUUCAUUGCGAAACUGCAUUGUCAUAAAUCCAAAUAGAUUGGUGCUGCUGAAUUGUCCAUGAAUUGUCCAAUUUUGUUCACAAAGGUAAUAUAUGUGAUUAUAUAUUCUCCGUUGUUUAAAUUGGAUUUUGUAUAAAAUAA